CAACCCGUCUCUGUUGCAAAAGAGUGGGAAGAUUUUCAAGUAGAGGUGACAAGCCUAUCGAACUUAGAGAUAGCUGGUUGUUCAGGAAAAGAGUUUCAGCUCUACCUUAAGUUUUUUUAUUAAUCUAAACAAACCUUCAAACUUAAGAGCUAUUCAAGUAAGGCACAACUUACUUGAAACAGGAUACAACCUCCCUUAUUGGGUAAACAAGAACAAAUUAAACAAAGUAGGCCUAAAAGCAGCCAUCUCAUAAAAAGCGUUAAAGCUUAACUUCUUAAUAUUAAUAAUUCCAGUAAUUCUAAUUAACCCUUCACCACUACUGAACAAUUUUAUAACCCUAUAAAAACUAUUAUGCUAGAACUAGUAACAAGAAACUGCCUUUCUCCUAAAUGUAAGCUUACACCACAUCGGACUAUCCACUGGUACUUAACGUAACUGUCCCUAUUAUAGCAACACUCAACCAGAAAACCCUAUAAAGACCAACGUUAAUCUCACACUAGAACAUUUUAGGAAAGAUUAAAAGAAAGAGAAGGAACUCGGCAAACCCUAGCCCCGCCUGUUUACCAAAAACAUCGCCUCUUGCCUAACAUAAGAGGUCCAGCCUGCCCAGUGACAUAGUUUAACGGCCGCGGUACCCUAACCGUGCGAAGGUAGCAUAAUCACUUGUUCCUUAAAUAGGGACUAGUAUCAACGGCAUCACGAGGGCUACACUGUCUCCUCUCUCUAAUCAGUGAAACUGAUCUCUCCGUGAAGAAGCGGAGAUUUUGAUAUAAGACGAGAAGACCCCAUGGAGCUUAAAACUUAAUAUAUACCUCUAUUUAUCCGCACCAACUAACUACAAGAGUCUAUAUAUUAGUUUUAGGUUGGGGGGACCGCGGAGUAAAAAUUAACCUCCACGACAAACGGGCCAACGCCCUUAUCCAUGAAACACAAUUCUAAGAAUUAAUAAUCUAAUGUUUUAUGACCCGAUAAGUCGAUCAACGAACCAAGUUACCCUGGGGAUAACAGCGCAAUCUA
rnacentral:rRNA from 1 species